rnacentral:tRNA from 1 species
GUGGCCAUGGUGUAGGGGUAACACACGAGAUUGUGGCUCUCGUAUCACGGGUUCGAAUCCCGUUGGUCACC